rnacentral:ncRNA from 2 species
UGGGUAAGCGCGGGAGAGCGUUUCGGGUAACCCCAAAGGUUGGCCGAAACCGCCGAAGGAGCAACCGCCCCGGAAUCUCUCAGGCAAUCGGGACCGCGCUGACCUG